AAGGUAUCCCUGCCCUAUGAUAUUUUUAAAUGGCUGCAGUAUUUUGACUGUGCAAAGGUAGCAUAAUAAUUAGCUUCUUAAUUGGAAGCUGGUAUGAAUGGGAUAAUGAGAUAUAUAUUUUAUUAUAUUUAUUCUUAAAAUUCAAGUUUUAAGUUAAAACGCUUAAUUAUUUUCUUGGGACGAUAAGACCCUAUAGAACUUUAUUCACUAAGAUUCAAUUGGUUUUUAUAAUGAAAAUUUUAUGUUACUUGUUGAUUUUNGCUGGGGUGGUAAUUAAAUUCUAAACUUUAAUUUUUUUAUUCAUUUAUUUAUGUUAAUUUUGAUCCUUUAUUUGGAUUUAAGAUUAAGUUACCUUAGGGAUAACAGCGUAAUUUUAAUGGGGAGUUCAUAUCUAUAUUAAAUUUUGCGACCUCGAUGUUGAAUUAAGAAAAAAUUAAGAAGCAGAAUUCUUAAAUUUAAGUCUGUUCGACUUUUAAAUUCUUACUUGAUCUGAGUCCAGACGGC
rnacentral:rRNA from 1 species